rnacentral:rRNA from 1 species
UAGGGAAUCUUCCACAAUGGACGAAAGUCUGAUGGAGCAACGCCGCGUGAGUGGUGAAGGGUUUCGGCUCGUAAAACUCUGUUGUUGGAGAAGAACGGGUGUCAGAGUAACUGUUGACAUCGUGACGGUAUCCAACCAGAAAGCCACGGCUAACUACGUGCCAGCAGCCGCGGUAAUACGUAGGUGGCAAGCGUUGUCCGGAUUUAUUGGGCGUAAAGCGAGCGCAGGCGGUUUUUUAGGUCUGAUGUGAAAGCCUUCGGCUUAACCGGAGAAGUGCAUCGGAAACCGGGAGACUUGAGUGCAGAAGAGGACAGUGGAACUCCAUGUGUAGCGGUGAAAUGCGUAGAUAUAUGGAAGAACACCAGUGGCGAAGGCGGCUGUCUGGUCUGCAAACUGACGCUGAGGCUCGAAAGCAUGGGUAGCGAACAGGAUUAGAUACCCUGGUAGUCCAUGCCGUAAACGAUGAGUGCUAAGUGUUGGAGGGUUUCCGCCCUUCAGUGCUGCAGCUAACGCAUUAAGCACUCCGCCUGGGGGAGUACGACCGCAAGGUUG